rnacentral:rRNA from 1 species
CCUACGCGAGGCAGCAGUGAGGAAUAUUGGUCAAUGGCCGGAAGGCUGAACCAGCCAAGUCGCGUGAGGGAAUACGGCCCUAUGGGUCGUAAACCUCUUUUGUCAGGGAGCAAAGGCGACCACGUGUGGACGAGAGGAGAGUACCUGAAGAAAAAGCAUCGGAUAACUCCGUGCCAGCAGCGGCGGUAAUACGGGGGAUGAGAGCGUUAUCCGGCUUUAUUGGGUUUAAAGGGUGCGAAGGCGGAUUAUUAAUUCAGCGGUAAAAUCGUGAGGCUCAACCCCAUCCAGCCGUUGAUACUGGUGAUCUAGAGUGUGCGAGAGGUAUGCGGAAUGUGUGGUGUAGCGGUGAAAUGCAUAGAUAUCACGCAGAACUCCGAUUGCGAAGGCAGCAUACCGACGCGCAACUGACGCUCAUGCACGAAAGCGUGGGUAUCGAACAGGAUUAGAUACCCGGGUAGUC